AAUAUCAAAGCUUUAUGUGCUGAAAGAUGGCCUCGCGUCUGAUUAGAUAGUUGGUGAGGUAACGGCUCACCAAGUCGACGAUCAGUAGCCGGUCUGAGAGGAUGAACGGCCACAUUGGGACUGAGAUACGGCCCAGACUCCUACGGGAGGCAGCAGUGGGGAAUAUUGGGCAAUGGGGGAAACCCUGACCCAGCAACGCCGCGUGAAGGAAGAAGGCCUUCGGGUUGUAAACUUCUUUUGGCAGGGACGAAGGACGUGACGGUACCUGCAGAAAAAGCAACGGCUAACUACGUGCCAGCAGCCGCGGUAAUACGUAGGUUGCAAGCGUUGUCCGGAUUUACUGGGUGUAAAGGGCGUGUAGGCGGAGGUGCAAGUUGGGAGUGAAAUCCCGGGGCUCAACCCCGGAACUGCUUUCAAAACUGCAUCCCUUGAGUGUCGGAGAGGCAAGCGGAAUUCCUAGUGUAGCGGUGAAAUGCGUAGAUAUUAGGAGGAACACCAGUGGCGAAGGCGGCUUGCUGGACGAUAACUGACGCUGAGGCGCGAAAGCGUGGGGAGCAAACAGGAUUAGAUACCCUGGUAGUCCACGCUGUAAACGAUGAAUACUAGGUGUGGGAGGACUGACCCCUUCCGUGCCGCAGUUAACACAAUAAGUAUUCCACCUGGGGAGUACGACCGCAAGGUUGAAACUCAAAGGAAUUGACGGGGGCCCGCACAAGCAGUGGAUUAUGUGGUUUAAUUCGACGCAACGCGAAGAACCUUACCAGGACUUGACAUCCAACUAACGAAGUAGAGAUACAUUAGGUGCCCUUCGGGGAAAGUUGAGACAGGUGGUGCAUGGUUGUCGUCAGCUCGUGUCGUGAGAUGUUGGGUUAAGUCCCGCAACGAGCGCAACCCCUAUUGUUAGCUGCUACGCAAGAGCACUCUAGCGAGACUGCCGUUGACAAAACGGAGGAAGGCGGGGACGACGUCAAAUCAUCAUGCCCCUUAUGUCCUGGGCUACACACGUAAUACAAUGGCCGUCAACAAAGGGAAGCAAUAUCGCGAGAUGGAGCAAAUCCCCAAAAACGGUCUCAGUUCGGAUUGCAGGCUGCAAUUCGCCUGCAYGAAGCYGGAMUUGMUAGUAAUCGUG
rnacentral:rRNA from 1 species